rnacentral:SRP_RNA from 1 species
GCCAGGCGUGGUGGCGGGCGCCUGUAGUCCCAGCUAGUUGGGAGGCUGAGGCAGGAGAAUUGCUUGAGCCCGGGAGGCGGAGGUUGCAGUGAGCCGAGAUCACGCCACUGCACUCCAGCCUGGGCAACAGAGCGAGACUCUGUCUCAA